rnacentral:rRNA from 1 species
GACGAACGCUGGCGGCGUGCUUAACACAUGCAAGUCGAGCGGUAAGGCCCUUUCGGGGGUACACGAGCGGCGAACGGGUGAGUAACACGUGGGUGACCUGCCCUCAGCUCUGGGAUAAGCCUGGGAAACUGGGUCUAAUACCGGAUAUGACUCCAUGACGCAUGUUGUGGGGUGGAAAGCCUUGUGCGGCUGAGGAUGGGGCCCGCGGCCUAUCAGCUUGUUGGUGGGGUGANGGCCUACCAAGGCGACGACGGGUAGCCGGCCUGAGAGGGCGGCCGGCCACACUGGGACUGAGACACGGCCCAGACUCCUACGGGAGGCAGCAGUGGGGAAUCUUGCGCAAUGGGCGAAAGCCUGACGCAGCGACGCCGCGUGAGGGAUGACGGCCU